ensembl:lncRNA
GGUGAAGUUGAGCACAGAAAGGUUCAAAGUUGCUUCACGUGACUGCUAUCGAGGUGCAUCAUGGAGAAUUGGUGGUUAAAGACAAGCUCACGUUACUUGGACAUUUUCUAAUCGUCUCCAUUGAAACCUGCUUUCAAGGUCUGUGAAGCCAAACUAGGUGCUGGGCAUUUAAUUUUGUCAAUGGAGUGAAAUGGUUGAAGCUGAUUUUGCCCGUCUUACAUCUGUUGACCUGAAAGGCUCCCUCUUUGCUGGGCUUGAACAAUAUCUGGAGAGGUUCCUUGAGCUGUACAAAACCAAGAGCGGCAUAGCAGGGCUAACUAGGCUCAUAAAAUGCCUAGAUGAUGAUAGCUCUACACAAAGGAAGAGGACAGUUCUUCUGCUGGGCCUUCCUCAUUUUCUCAAGGAAGAUCCCUCACGCAUUUUCAAGACUAUGGAGCCCACAGAUAUUGAAGACACGUUCACCAAGGGGAUGAAAGUUGGCAUUGUGAUGGUGAAAGAAGAAGACAUUUAUGUUUUGGUUGU